rnacentral:lncRNA from 1 species
GACGGAAGGAGCGGCGGCGACGGAGGAGGAGGAUGGAGGCGGUGGUGUUCGUCUUCUCUCUCCUCGAUUGUUGCGCGCUCAUCUUCCUCUCGGUCUACUUCAUAAUUACAUUGUCUGAUUUAGAAUGUGAUUACAUUAAUGCUAGAUCAUGUUGCUCAAAAUUAAACAAGUGGGUAAUUCCAGAAUUGAUUGGCCAUACCAUUGUCACUGUAUUACUGCUCAUGUCAUUGCACUGGUUCAUCUUCCUUCUCAACUUACCUGUUGCCACUUGGAAUAUAUAUCGAUACAUUAUGGUGCCGAGUGGUAACAUGGGAGUGUUUGAUCCAACAGAAAUACACAAUCGAGGGCAGCUGAAGUCACACAUGAAAGAAGCCAUGAUCAAGCUUGGUUUCCACUUGCUCUGCUUCUUCAUGUAUCUUUAUAGUGGUAGCAACUGCCCUUGCUAAUCACCGUAACCUCGGCUGAGAAAGAAGAGGAAGCGAAAUCCAAGAUGCAGCUCAGUUCAUCAAAGCCUAGCAGGUCCCCUCAGCUGCCUUUUCAUGCCUGCCACAGACUACAGUAGGACAAAACCUGACCUGGUCUUUGAAGUUAAGAGCUAAGAAAGCUUCCUAUAGUAGUAUCUCCCAUGGCACUUACCACAUUCUAUCUGGUAUUACAGUUAUUUGUAUGCAAUUAAUCACUCUUAGAUUGUAUGUUCCUGGAGGGCAGAAUAUGCCCAUUCAUAUUUGUAUCUUCUUCCUUCUGCUCUUGGCACCUAACACAGUGCCUUGCACACAAACAAUAAAUGAUUGUUGAGUGAAUAAGUAAA